GGGAAAGCUGUGACACACUGGCCACCUCUCGCCAUCAGAAAUGAACCCGGGGGCAAGCACGUAGUUCAGCUUGUGCACGCAGCAAAGCCCUGAGCUCUGACUCUACAGCGAUCUCCUUCCUUCUAAUGCAGAUCCUAAUUCUGGAAGAUGAGACCUGGGGCUCGGGAAGAUGGCUCACUUGCUAAGCUACUUGCUGGACACACCUACAUACUCAACCUCAGUGCUCACCUUAGAAGCUGGGGCUGCUCACUGCUCAGCCAGUUUAGCUGAUUCUCUAACCUUCAAGGUGAUCUACGGCACCACUGUAGGACUGUGACCCUCACAUCUGAGAUGUAAUAUAAAUGACAUAGAGAGCUGUCUGAAAUCAUGCCUGUGGACUCCAAUCUCAGAAUUUCGGAAGUAGCAGACCUGGGGUGCCACGUGCCAAGUUCUGACACGUUCUCAGAGCUGCAGGAUCUCCAUGACACAGGGCAACAACCGGAUAACCAGGAGGAGUCUCACUGAGGAUCCAAUAUUGACAGUGUCAUUGAAACCAGAGAUCUUGAAACAGACCAGUGACUCCGUGUAAUGGACAUUUGCAAAUGAAGAUGGCGAAUGCAUUCACAAUCCAGCACAGUAAUUUCUAGAAGAAAGGAGGAAGAUGUGUUGUGAUGGCAACAGACAGGACUGAUGCUACUCUGAGAUGUGGAGGAAGCGUGUGGGCAAACAUGGGUGGCCUGCAAAUCUGAUAGCUUUAGCUCCAGCAGUGGCUUGAUAGUCUCCAUUAAAGACAAAGGACAAGGUGGCUAUUGCAGCAUACGUUUAUAGAUGUGUGUGGGCGUGGCAUUUCCUUCCUACAAUGACUUAGAACAUCUAUGCUCCUGGCACCCUGAAGAACCACAAUCAACCUUUCGGAGACUCUUCCACGUCUUAAGAUUUUUUUUUUCAAUUCUGCUGAGCAACAGAGAGACAUAUUUGGUAGUUGCAUAAACAAAUACAUUCGACUGUGCUGUGGAUUAACCUAAAGUGACACAUUUAUUUAAAAAUCUGCCUACGACUUGUCCUCAUUGAUUAAAUGCCCUUAAGAAAGUGAGGCUGAUGAAAUGAACGCCAUUAAGAUGCAGUGCGCCUCCUCAGCUCCUUUUGAUGGUUGACACAUUCCCCAGAGUGGGAGAUCGGAAGGCUGAUAAACUAACGCUGAAUUAUAAGCACUUCGUGGAAUGUCACUGGCAAAUAAGAGUCUACUGUUUUGCUUGCAAAGCAACUGUCUGCCUUAACAGCACAAAAAUGGACACGACGCAGAGUGAUUUCAUCUCCUGUGCUCAGAAUAUAAACGAACAUGUACUCGGUGGGUACAUUUUCACGGCAGAAAUCAGCCCCGAGCCAAGCAGGCUUGUUCCUGGCUGCGGUACCAUUGAUCAAGAAGUAGAAGGGCCUGCCAAGGACUUUGUCGAUAUUGUCAGGGCUCCAGUGAGCAUCGGGUGAUUUUGCUGUCGCUUGCCGUUUGUUACCUGAGCUUUCACUGGCUUGGAAGGGGCGGAGGCAGGGAGUGGCUGUUGUGUUGAUGGGGGUGUUAGGAUAUGAAGAGCAGAAAAAGAGUAUUUGGUUCUUUUCUUGGAAUUGGAGGCAUAAACUGCUUUUGAGGUGUAGUGUGAGGGGUACCUGAGAGUAGAAGCCUUUACCAGCCUUAUGGUCUCGAGAAAUCAUUUGAAUUUGCUGAGUCUCGGGUUUCCUCCGCUGAAAAAUGGGGCUAAUGUUUGUUUUUAUUGGAUUGUGGUAAAGACGCUAUAGAAUAAAGUACACAAUGUGCUUUGUCAACUGUCCAAUACUAUACAAAGGGUCAGGGGUCAACGCGGCUGCCUUAAGCAUCCUCAGUGGGCAGUGUCUACCUCAGCAGCCCCUCUCCCAUGGGCGGUGGAUCCCCCACAUUGGCCUCACUAUGGUGUCUGAUGCUCAGGUAGAGUCAGUGCGAUCUCCCCAUUGAAGACAGUUCCUGACUCAAAGAAUAGAAUGUCAAAUAUAUUUAGACUCCAGUGUGGCUGGGAGAGCAAAUGCUUAAAAAAUCAGCCAUCUAUCACUCUGUUUAAAAGGAAAAAUAUUGAAGGGAAUUCCAAGCAAUGAAGUCAGCUUCAGAAUCACCUUUUUUCUUUAUGUCCCUCAUUAGCUGAGGGUCACACUAGGACUGGGAGCUUGGCUUGACCAUUGGGCUAGGUUGGUUGACCAGGAAACACAUCUUCUCCCAGCACGGGGUCUACAAACACCUGUGUACCUGCCUUUUUACUUGGCUGCUGAAAUCAUUGAACUCAUGUCCUUAUGCUUGAAAGAUAGGGACUUUAACAGUCAUUUCCCGGACCCUGGAAUUAUUUUGGCUUGAAGGCUAUCCAAGCUACUUUUUAAUGUAAUUUCUCCUCACGAACACCUGAUGUUUGUUUGUUUGUUAUUUUUAAAGAAAAGACUCUCCUACAUGUAUCCUCAUGAACUGUUUUGCUCAAGCCUCUCUCCUGGUCCAUGCUCACCAGGUCAAAACAUUUCUUCCAAAUACUGUUUUGAUGGGAGUUCUUCCAACAUACCUGGCCCAUGAUCUCAUGGGGCUCUGCUGCCUCUGCGGCCCUUUUCACAUCUAAAACCGGACAGACCAUCCUGUAAAAUGGGCUUGCCCCUGGAUUGAGGUUAGCUGUGUUAUAACUUCCGUGCUCUGGAUUUAUCCCUUCUCUUGUACGGAUAGUAAUCAAAUGAUUGUGCUAAUUGUGCCAACAAUGGUGACGUCUAAUUCCCAAGUGUCCCGUAUUCUAGGCAGCUUACAAGGCGCGAUCUGUUGCAUCUGAGAUUGUUUUUUUCCUAAGGGUCUGACACAAUGGGUACUAUGGUGAUGCUUGAGGUGUAGAUUAAAUUCCUUGCUUGGAUUUGAGAAGAGAGCUCAUAUGCAACUCUGAGUGGCCCUGGUGUCUAGACUACAACCAGUUUGCUCACCUCAUUGGAUCGUAGAGAAUAUGAAAUGUUUAUCCAUGCAAAAACAAUUACUUUAAAAGAAACAGAAUUAGUUGUUUAAAGAUCUUUACAAGUAAAUAGUAUCAAAAAAUUG